AGAACCAAGGAUCCCUAAAACCCUUCGACUUUUCCCCGGCGCGCGAUCUCUUUCUCGCUCGAUUCUCCUCGUUGUCGCCGUCGAGUCUACCGCCGGAGAUGGGCGUCGGCGGAAGCUUCUGGGACCUUCUGAAGCCCUAUGCGCGCAAUGAGGGCAUCGAUUUCCUCCGCGAAAAGCGCGUCGCCGUCGAUCUCUCCUAUUGGAUCGUCCAGCACGACGCCGUCAUUCGAAGACGGAAACCUAACGCUCGGAACCCUCACCUGCGCAACACCUUCUUCCGCACCGUCGCUCUCUUCUCCAAGAUGGGGGCGUAUCCGGUAUUUGUGGUGGACGGUGAGCCGUCGCCAUUGAAGUCGCAGGCAAGGAUUGAGCGUUUCUUCCGGAUGUCUGGCUUGGAUCCCUCGGAGCUGCCGAAACCUGUAGAAGGUGAGGGGGAGGUGACUCCCGUGAGGCAGAGGAACCGCUUCUUCACCAAAUAUGUGCGAGAAUGCAUGGAGCUCCUCAAACUACUAGGGAUGCCUGUUAUAGAAGCUCAUUGUGAAGCUGAAGCUCUUUCUGCACAACUAAAUCGUGAAGGUCAAGUGGAUGCUUGCAUUACUGCUGACAGCGAUGCCUUCCUUUUUGGAGCAAAAUGCAUUAUAAAGUGCUUAAGUUCUAAUUCUAAAGAGCCAUUCGAGUGCUACAAUAUUUCAGAUAUCGAAGCUGGCCUUGGUUUGAAAAGAAAACAAUUGAUUGCUAUUGCUCUUCUUGUUGGCAAUGACCAUGACUUACAUGGGGUUCCUGGGUUUGGUGUUGAUAAUGCUGUUCGCUUUGUGCGGUUGUAUUCUGAUGAUGAAAUUUUGGAUCGGUUAUCCAUGAUAGGGAAGGGAGAUCUAGAUAUUGAAAAUGGAAUUGCAACCAGUUCAACUAUGUUUUCUAUGACUGUUAAAUCCCCACACUGCACACAUUGUGGUCAUCCAGGCAGAAAAAGUGUUCAUAUCAAGAUUGCUUGUAAGCAGUGUGUCAUGAAUGGUUCACAUACAUGCAUGAAAAAGCCAUCUGGCUUCAAAUGCACAUGCUCCAGUUGUGGUGAGGUGCACAAACUCAAGGAGCAUCAAAGACAUGAAAAAUGGCAAGUUAAAAUGCAAAAAUCUAUUUCUGCUAUGCCUAAGUUCCCAAACAAUGAGAUCAUUGCAUUAUAUUUAAAUGAUAGCUAUGGGUAUUUUGAUGGGAAAGAUGGCCUAAUGCUCAAAUGGGAUAAGCCUAAAGUUGAGCAUCUGGUUGACUUCUUAAGUUUUCACCAGAACUGGGAAUCCUCUUAUAUACGCCAGAAGAUGCUUCCUUUGCUAUGUACUAUUUACUUGAGAGAAAUAGCCUCUACUCAAAAUGACAACUUACUUUUGAAUGACCAGUAUAAAUUUCACUCAAUUAUGCAACAGAAGAUCAAGCACGGUCAUCCUUUCUACUUAAUCAAAUGGAUGAGAGAUGCUAUUUGUACUAUCCAUUCUGUUUCUAAUGAACAAGCUGAACUACUCCCACUUCAGUCACCUGGAUCUGACGAGUCAAUUGAUCUAUUAGAUGAGCCAGAUGGUCCAACAAUUCUAGUAGAUGAUGGAUGCUUUUUUUUGUUGACGGAUGAAAAUAUGGAUCUUGUACGAGCUGCAUUCCCGAAGGAGGUUGAUAGGUUCUUGGAAUUAAAGAAGAGCAGAUGUAAAAACAAAGUUGAAACGUCCAUCAGAUUGGCAUCUCCUAUAUCGACUGAGGUCCAGCUUAGCAUUAAGCGGUUUUAUCAUUCUACAAAGGCUGUGGCUCAAGAUCAUGAGAAGGGUUCAUUCAUAGACAGCUCACCAUGUGGCAAAAGAGAGAAGCUAACUAACCUGGAUAAGAACUUGCCAAAGUCUGUCAGGAGACGGCUCUUAUUUGACUAGGAAUAGCUGAUGGGGCUGACAAAGGAGGAUAUGGCAGAAAGAAUUUGCUGGCACGAACAAAAAGAUCAUAUUAGUGGAGCAAAUCGUCAAUAAUUCUGAUCAAGUGAAAUUGGCAACUUUGAAAAGAUUAGAAUGAGGCAGCGAAGACAAUAGUGAGAUGGAUGGAUGGUAGAGUCUUAAUUGAACCAGAGAACUCAAUGACUUGCAAAAUGCUAUGAAUCAUGAAACAAUGGUCCUGGUAUAUGAACUCUCCUUGAGGUAAUAGUUCUAUGUUCUACUUGUCACUAAUUUUGUUUUUUUAAGAGUACCAAUCAUGAUUUUUGAUAGAAAAAUGAUUUAAAUUGAUCGAAUUUGAAUUAGUGCGCUUUUCCAGAUCAUCUCAAGUGUAUCUGCGGUUUAGUGGAAGCACCUUAAGCCAGCUGCUUCCUUUGCCUUCGUGCAGUGGUGGAACCAGAAAAAAAGAAAUAUGGGCCGGGCUGAAUUAUACAGAUACGGCUAAAUAUAUAUAUUUAAUAAUUAAAAUUUUACAUCAAUAACGAUAAAAAUGAUAAAAAUAUAUGAUGAUAAAGUUAAAAUUGAAGCCUUUUCACUCAGCUUAUAGUAAGUUAUAGAUAUAUAUGUGAUUGAAAUGAUAGUUUUAUAGUUUACCAAGAGACUAACAAGAACUCGAGAGCUUUUUCCUCGUCUCACUUAAUACUCGGCCAAAUUUCUAAAAUAUGAUAAGUUAACAUUGAGAACAUUUGAUGUAACUUGCAAGAAGAAAAAAUUUAGAAGUUUAGGAAAGUUUGAGAUGAGUCUUAUCUUUCAGUUUCAGAUCGGGGUAGUCCAUGAUCACUAAUUUCACCAAGUUAGCAAGUAAAUUUCAUUUCUGCUAGUUAGAUAGACCAGCAAAUUUAUAACAACAGCCAGGAACGUAACUCCACAAAUUCUGGUAGAAUACAAGGUGAAUUGAGAUGUCAAGAAGGGGGAGGAGGUCACCUCAUUUAUCAUGGGAAGAAAGUAGAAACACCUUGGUCGAUUGGCACAGGAGUCUGCGAUGGCCGAUGAGUUGGUACAAGAGAAGA